rnacentral:tRNA from 1 species
CGGGGUGUAGCUCAGCCUGGUAGAGCGCUGCCUUCGGGAGGCAGAGGUCGUAGGUUCAAUUCCUGUCUCCCCGACCA